CCUACGGGAGGCAGCAGUGGGGAAUAUUGGACAAUGGGCGAAAGCCUGAUCCAGCCAUGCCGCGUGUGUGAAGAAGGCCUUCGGGUUGUAAAGCACUUUCAGUGGGGAAGAAAGCCUUGGGGCUAAUACCCUCGAGGAAGGACAUCACCCACAGAAGAAGCACCGGCUAACUCCGUGCCAGCAGCCGCGGUAAUACGGAGGGUGCGAGCGUUAAUCGGAAUUACUGGGCGUAAAGCGCGCGUAGGCGGUCUGAUAAGCCGGUUGUGAAAGCCCCGGGCUCAACCUGGGAACGGCAUCCGGAACUGUCAGGCUAGAGUGCAGGAGAGGAAGGUAGAAUUCCCGGUGUAGCGGUGAAAUGCGUAGAGAUCGGGAGGAAUACCAGUGGCGAAGGCGGCCUUCUGGACUGACACUGACGCUGAGGUGCGAAAGCGUGGGUAGCAAACAGGAUUAGAUACCCCAGUCGUC
rnacentral:rRNA from 1 species